rnacentral:rRNA from 1 species
GAUGAACGCUGGCGGCGUGCCUAAUACAUGCAAGUCGAGCGAACAGAUAAGGAGCUUGCUCCUUUGACGUUAGCGGCGGACGGGUGAGUAACACGUGGGUAACCUACCUAUAAGACUGGAAUAACUCCGGGAAACCGGGGCUAAUGCAGGAUAACAUGUUGAACCGCAUGGUUCUACAGUGAAAGGCGGCUUUGCUGUCACUUAUAGAUGGACCCGCGCCGUAUUAGCUAGUUGGUGAGGUAACGGCUCACCAAGGCAACGAUACGUAGCCGACCUGAGAGGGUGAUCGGCCACACUGGAACUGAGACACGGCCCAGACUCCUACGGGAGGCAGCAGUAGGGAAUCUUCCGCAAUGGGCGAAAGCCUGACGGAGCAACGCCGCGUGAGUGAUGAAGGUCUUCGGAUCGUAAAACUCUGUUAUUAGGGAAGAACAAAUGCGUAAGUAACUGUGCGCGUCUUGACGGUACCUAAUCAGAAAGCCACGGCUAACUACGUG